CAGAUAAACAUAGUUAUGGACAGCAGAUAUGCAAUCAAAAGAAAUCAAAUGCGUCAAAGAAGGUUGUCAACUGAACUUGAAAAUAUUCACUCAAGACUAGAAGGUAGCCUAUGUUUGCUUGAACACGAAGUAAAAGAAAUAAAAAAAGACCAGGACAAACAAGACGAACCCAGAUCCGGACUUCGAUUUCGUACUUUAAGAAAAAAUCAGAAAAUAACAAUAUGGGUGAUUCCAGAAGAAGAGCCAGUAGUUUUAGCAUCAGUGAAUCUAAAACUAACAUUGAUGGUCCCCGAAAACCC
rnacentral:lncRNA from 1 species